GGCGCCAUGGCCGGAGGAAUCCCCCACCGCCGUCGCUCCAUCCCUCCCCCACCACCCUCUCCUCCGCAUCUCUAGCCGGCAAUAUCCGUGUGGAGCGGCAGGCCUCCGGUGAGAUCUGUCGGGAGACGCAUCCAUCCGUGGGGAGUAGCUGGACGAUGGCGAGGUCUGCACGUCACUGCCGUCUUCCAAGAAGAGCUCGCAGAAGAGGAGAAGAACUGAUGCUGCUGAAGGGCAGAUGAGAUGUGCUGCUGAUGGAAGGGUUUCGCCAUGGCCGGCAAGGGCAGCCUGGAGUGUCUCCAAAAUGAGUAUUACUAUGUGAUCUGCAAGGUUAGCUUGCAAUCUCGAUUUCAUUCGUUCUG